UUUGAUGGCGACCGGCGCACGGGUGAGUAACACGUAUCCAACCUGCCGAUGACUCGGGGAUAGCCUUUCGAAAGAAAGAUUAAUACCGGAUAGCAUACGAAUAUCGCAUGAUAUUUUUAUUAAAGAAUUUCGGUUAUCGAUGGGGAUGCGUUCCAUUAGGCAGUUGGUGGGGUAACGGCCCACCAAACCUUCGAUGGAUAGGGGUUCUGAGAGGAAGGUCCCCCACAUUGGAACUGAGACACGGUCCAAACUCCUACGGGAGGCAGCAUG
rnacentral:rRNA from 1 species